AGUGAACGCUGGCGGUAGGCCUAACACAUGCAAGUCGAACGGCAGCACAGUAAGAGCUUGCUCUUACGGGUGGCGAGUGGCGGAAGGGUGAGGAAUACAUCGGAAUCUACUUUUUCGUGGGGGUUAACGUAGGGAAACUUACGCUAAUACCGCAUCCGACCUACGGGUGAAAGGAGGGGAUCUUCGGACCUUGCGCGGUUGGAUGCGCCGAUGUCGGAUUAGCUAGUUGGCGGGGUAAAGGCCCACCCAGGCGACGAUCCGUAGCUGGUCUGAGAGGAUGAUCAGCCACACUGGAACUGAGACACGGUCCAGACUCCUACGGGAGGCAGCAGUGGGGAAUAUUGGACAAUGGGCGCAAGCCUGAUCCAGCCAUACCGCGUGGGUGAAGAAGGCCUUCGGGUUGUAAAGCCCUUUUGUUGGGAAAGAAAAGCAGCAGGUUAAUACCCCGCUGUUCUGACGGUACCCAAAGAAUAAGCACCGGCUAACUUCGUG
rnacentral:rRNA from 1 species